rnacentral:other from 1 species
CUUCCUGAGCCGGAACGAAAAGUUGAACGGUAGCAAUACUGCAAAACUUUUGGCUAUGUGGUUGUGAUGUUGUGUUUGCAAGUUGUCCGGGAGUUCCGGACAUAGUAGCUUAAGCUACUGUUUUUUUUCACUUCCUGUACAUUUACCCUGUCUGUCCAUAGUGAUUUUUUGAAUGCACCGCCGAUUGCGGUGCUUUUUUUU